UGUCUACUACUGGAGACACUG
rnacentral:miRNA from 1 species